GCAAGUCGAAUGCGAAUCGGUGUUUCGGCAUCGUAGUAGCAUGGCAGACGGGUGAGGAGCGCGUAUCUGACCUGACACUCGAAGGGGGAUAGUCCUGCGAAAGUGGGCAUAAUACCGCGUACGCUCGUGAGGGUAGAGCUUCACGAGGAGAGGUGGCCUCUGCAUGCAUGCUGCUGUCGAGUGAGGGGGAUGCGUCCUAUUAGCUAGUUGGUGGGGUAAUGGCCUACCAAGGCGGCGAUGGGUUGCUGGUCUGAGACACGGACC
rnacentral:rRNA from 1 species